GCUAUGUACGGAAUGGAUAAGCGCUGAAAGCAUCUAAGCGCGAAGCCAACUUCAAGAUAAGAUUUCCCACCGCAAGGGUAAGACCCCAGAAAGACUAUCUGGCUGAUAGGUCGAAGGUGUAAGUGCAGCAAUGUAUUUAGCUUAUCGAUACUAAUAGGUCGAGGACUUGACCAAU
rnacentral:rRNA from 1 species